GCGGUGUGAGUGAAGGAGGCUUUGUUUGGCUAGAUUUGAUUUUAGAUUGGAGAUGUUUGAUAUGAGUCUGGAGGGAGAGUUUACAGUCUAGCCAGACACCUAGGUACUUAUAGAUGUCCAAAUAUUCUAGGUCGGAACCAUCCAGGGUGGUGAUGCUAGUCGGGCGUGCGGGUGCAGGCAGCGAACGGUUGAAAAGCAUGCAUUUGGUUUUACUAGCGUUUAAGAGCAGUUGGAGGCCACGGAAGGAGUGUUGUAUGGCAUUGAAGCUCGUUUGGAGGUUAGAUAGCACAGUGUCCAAGGACGGGCCGGACGUAUACAGAAUGGUUUCGUCUGCGUAGAGGUGGAUCAGGGAAUCGCCCGCAGCAAGAGCAACAUCAUUGAUAUAUACAGAGAAAAGAGUCGGCCCGAGAAUUGAAGCCUGUGGCACCCCCAUAGAGACUGCCAGAGGACCGGACAGCAUGCCCUCCGAUUUGACACACUGAACUCUGUCUGCAAAGUAGUUGGUGAACCAGGCAAGGCAGUCAUUAGAAAAACCGAGGCUACUGAGUCUGCCGAUAAGGAUAUGGUGAUUGACAGAGUCGAAAGCCUUGGCAAGGUCGAUGAAGGCAGCUGCACAGUACUGUCUUUUAUUGAUGGCGGUUAUGAUAUCAUUUAGUACCUUGAGCGUGGCUGAAGUGCACCCGUGACCGGCUCCGAAACCAGAUUGCACAGUGGAGAAGGUACGGUGGGAUUCGAGAUGGUCAGUGACCUGUUUGUUGACUUGGCUUUCGAAGACCUUAGAUAGGCAGGGCAGGAUGGACAUAGGUCUGUAACAGUUUGGGUCCAGGGUGUCUCCCCCUUUGAAGAGGGGGAUGACUGCGGCAGCUUUCCAAUCCUUGGGGAUCUCAGACGAUAUGAAAGAGAGGUUGAACAGGCUGGUAAUAGGGGUUGCGACAAUGGCGGCGGAUAGUUUCAGAAAUAGGGGGUCCAGAUUGUCAAGCCCAGCUGAUUUGUACGGGUCCAGGUUUUGCAGCUCUUUCAGAACAUCUGCUAUCUGGAUUUGGGUAAAGGAGAACCUGGAGAGGCUUGGGCGAGGAGCUGCCGGGGGGCCGGAGCUGUUGGCCGAGGUUG
ensembl:lncRNA